rnacentral:lncRNA from 1 species
UUUGAACUGGGACGUGGGUUUUCCCUGUCUUCAGACUUGAACUGAAACACCAGCUCUUCCUGGGUCUUGAGCCUGCUUGUCUUCAGAUUGCAACUUGCACCAUUGUGUCGCCUGGUUCUCAGGCCUUUAGACUCAGAACUACACCAUCAGCUCACCUGGAUCUCCAGCUUGUCAACUCUUCUGGCAAAUCAUGGGACUUGUCAACCUUCUUAACGAUGUGAGAGCUCUAUCUGUGACCUCCAGGGUGGACCGCUUCAGGGUACAUAGCUAGAAUUUGUGGAAAGGGGGAAAGUAGAUUGAUACAUGUGUGUAUACAGUCCUGUGGAUUCUAACCCAGAACAACUCAAGUGACCUCAGUUCACGAAGACAAAAGAAGAUUUUCGUUUGAUUGUGUCUGGGUGGGUGUUUCGUUCAAGCAAGAACUGAGCAAAAUAAAAGUUGUCUUUAUAAGUCCUCAGUCUAA